CGGACGGGUGAGUAACGCGUGGGUAACCUGCCUCACACAGGGGGAUAGCAGUUAGAAAUGGCUGCUAAUACCGCAUAAGACCACAGUACUGCACGGUACAGUGGUAAAAACUCCGGUGGUAUGAGAUGGACCCGCGUCUGAUUAGGUAGUUGGUGAGGUAACGGCCCACCAAGCCGACGAUCAGUAGCCGACCUGAGAGGGUGACCGGCCACAUUGGGACUGAGACACGGCCCAG
rnacentral:rRNA from 1 species